rnacentral:rRNA from 1 species
GUCAUAUCUUCCCUAUAGAACGAACGCUGGCGGCAAGCCUAACACAUGCAAGUCGAACGGUCAAUUAUUUAAUAGCCUCUGGCUAUAGGAAAUUGUUAGUGGCAGACGGGUGAGUAAUGCGUAGGAAUCUACCUAGUAGUACGGAAUAGCCAUUAGAAAUGGUGGGUAAUACUGUAUAAUCCCCGAGGGGGAAAGAUUUAUCGCUAUUAGAUGAGCCUACGUUAGAUUAGCUAGUUGGUGAGGUAAUGGCUUACCAAGGCUAUGAUCUAUAGCUGGUCUGAGAGGACGAUCAGCCACACUGGAACUGAGAUACGGUCCAGACUCCUACGGGAGGCAGCAGUGGGGAAUAUUGGACAAUGGGCGAAAGCCUGAUCCAGCUAUGCCGCGUGAGUGAAGAAGGCCUCGGGUCNAAACUCUCA